GAGAUCGAGUCUCUCUCUGUCUCCCAGGCUGGAGUGCAGAGGCGCGAUCUUGGCUCACUGCAACCUCCUCCUCCCGGGUUCAAGUGAUUCUCCUGCCUCAGCCUCCCGAGUAGCCGAGAAUACAGGAAGCUGAGCUAAGUGAGCAGCUGAAGAUGAAGGGAAGCCCAGAGGUUUUGCAGGUCACCAGAAAAGCCCUAAUUGAAGGAGGUACUAUACAAAUUUAGAAGAAAUGGUGCGUGAUUGUUUACAAAAGGUUCCUGAAUUUUCAGUGUUUGGCAGAGGAGGAGACAUGGAGAAAUACUGAAACUCCUGCUAAAGGACACCCCUUCAAAGGGCAGGCGCUGUGCUGGGCUCUGGGACUCGUGGGUGAACUGCACAGAGCUGGGCCCUGCCUUCAGGGAAAGAAGACAAUAAGCAAAACAUACCCAAAGAGAUGGUUACAAAGACAGCGAGCACCCGGAAGGAAAAUGGAAGCUGCCAGGAAAGGGGCUCCUGGGCCUACUCACCAGGAAGUCCAGUCCUCACCAGCCCGGAGGCCUGGUCUGCAUCCUCAGCCUCACAGAAGCUCAACCAGUCACUUAAAACGAGAUUGCAGUGAUGUUUUACAACUCUGUGAACGCACUAAUAGCCACUGAAUUCUACACUAACGUGUGCAUUUUAUGACAGGAGUGCUGCAUCUGGAUGGCAUGGCAGAGGGAAGCCCCAGCUGCCACUGCUCCAGGGACCCUUAUAGUUCCACGGUGAUGGGGAACAGAAAGAGGCUCUUCCAGGAAACAGCCUUGGGGACAAGGAGACCACACUUCUGGGUGAUUCGAAGAUCAGACAAGGCUCCUGUAAAAUGAACGAAUGAAGUGAAUGAAUGAGACGGAGUUGCACUGUUAGAGAUGGUGGCAGCAGUGUGAAUCAAAUGAAGUCCCUGCUCUCCCGGUUGUGGCCACGUUAGUCCAGCCCAGAAGAGUCUCCAGGGGCCCGAGCAUCUGUCCUCACAUCAGAACUAGCUUUGGGAUUGUGACUUUGGGGUUGCUUUGUUGGCUUCCUUUUCCUGUCAGGCAGCAUAUAGGGCUGGGGGCUGUCAACCGCACCCUCCCUGAAUCUACGUCCAUCACGAGUCCCCUUGCAGGGCCUUCUUUUUUUUUGACCCAGCGUCAGUCAUGUAACUUGCUUUGGCCAAGUGAUGUCAGCAAGUGGGAUACAAGCAGAGGUCUGAAAAGUGCUGGCAAACGGGGCUUGCUCGCUCGGCUCUGCCACAGUGUGAGAACGUGCCUCGACUCGCCUGCCGGUGGACAGCACACUUGGAACAGGACUGGUGUCGCCAGCUGCCCCAGCCGAGGCCACCCUAGACCAGCCAGCAGCCAGGACCAUGGCCCGGGCGAGUCCAGCCUGCAUCACUGGCUGCAGACUCGUGGGCUAAAUAAUUGCUCAUUGCUUCAAGUCACUGAGUUUCAGGGCAGUCCGUCCCAUAGCAUUAUUGUGGCAGUGGUCACUGAUGGGGCAGUAGGAGGGCUCCUGUCAGUACCAGGAGCUGUUGGCUCCUGUCAGAAAGGACCUAGUGGUAGCCAGUGUGGACCUGGAACAAGAGAGUGGGCCUUAAAACGAGGAUCUCCAGGCACCAUGUGGGGCUGAGCCUCAUAGGCAGCCAUUCCUGAAGCGCAGGAGGUGGUAGGAAAUUAGGAGGCAAAGGCAUGAGAUGCUAUGGCAGCUUCCCUGAGCGGGGACGAUGGGCACCACUCAUCGGUGGGCACCGCAGGGUGAGUCAGUUCCCGGCCCUGCUGCUUGAACUCAUCUCCCACAGGCACAGGCUGGCCGUGGGAGUCCGCGGGCCACGUGCAGUCUCCUCAUUCCCACCUCCUCCAGGUUUCCUUGCAGCCUCCACCUCCAGGGCUGAGUCAUGAGCUCAUGGCCCCAGGGAAGGAGAAGCUGGAAAGGCCUAGGACUUCAAGGUCACAGAGCUGUCAGCCCUCUGGGGAACUGCCUUGGUAGAACAGAGUAGCCACCUCACCCAAGGCAGCCCCCAGCCAGGGACGGAUCAGCUUGGGGGCGUAAACCUUGGUCCCCUCACCGCAGCUUGGUGCAGCCUGCAGGGCCACCCCAGCUCCGGGGCUCCUGAGACCAGCUUCUCCCUCGGGCCAUCCUGCCUGUCCCAUUCUGUCCCCUUCCAUCAGGGCUGACCCCCAGAGGACACCCUAACAAUUCCCUGCAGCCCAGGCUCCACCUCGGUGGGUAGCAGCUUCCCUGAAACCAGUGGUGCUUCUCAUUCAGUCCCUGCAGGCUGAGAAGCAGCCUGAAGGAUCUCCACUGCUUCCAGGCGAGGCCCCAGGGAUCUGCUGAGAAUCUGGCUGGUUGGCUUGCCAGGAAACAUCACUGUGAGUGUGAAGUGUCCCAGCCUUUGAGGGCCGCACGCCCACUGCCCAGGCAAGGGCUGAAUGGGAGCUUCAGAACUCAGGAGAUCACAGUGUGGGCGAGCCUAGGCUGCAGGACGGAGCCACAGCAAGGGUGACACAGGUUGCCAGUGCCCUGUGGAGGACACCACAGAACCCCACGGCAGCCCGGGCCUGCCGCGCCUGCACUGUCACCCACUUGGGGUGGAGCAUUCUUCUCUGCAACCAGCUAUAGGAAAUACAUAGUCUUAUAAUCUUUGUCCACCUGAGGAAUUACAGAUGGUCCCUGGCUCCUGGUGCCUCAAUUUAUGAUUUUUUGACUUUAUGAUGGUUUGAAAUAUUGGCAGUUUUGAUGAAUGUACAGUAUUCAAUAUAUCAUGUGAGGUAUUCAACAUUUUAUGAUAAAAUGGGCUUCGUGUGGCAUGAUUUUGCCCAAUUGUAGGCUAACCUGAGUGUUCUGAGCAUGUUUAAGGUCCACUAGGCUAAGCUAGGAUGUUCGGUAGCUUAGGUGUGUCAAAUGCAUUUUCAACUUACGAUAUUUUCAACUUGGAAUGGGUUUACCUGGAUGCAACCCCCAUGUAACUCGAGGAGCACCUGUAUGCGUCAAUUGCCUUCACCCUCUAACAGGGUGGGUGUGAGGGCUGCCAUGUCAGAGAAAGCAGGCCUGGAAUGGCGGUCAGAAGAGGAUUCUGGAAAUUCUGAGGUUUCCUAACAAGGCCCCAGUCAUGGCAGGAGGCUCUGAGGGCUCCACUGGGGCCGGAGAGGCUGCUUCCAGGCUCUCUCUGGCGUCCCUUGCUGGGGCUCCAGGCCUUCUCCAGCUGCUGGUGGCAGACCUGGAUCACAGGGCUGCUCAGUACAAGGCAGCUGGCUUUUCCCAGAGCAAGGGCUCUGAAGGGGAGGGAACAAGAGAAGGCGGGCAAGGUGGGGGGCACAGGCGUUUUGUAGCCAAAUAAUCUUGGAAGGGACAGCCCAUUACCUUUGCCAGAUUCUACUUAGUUGAAGCCAGUCCCUAGGUGACAGGAAUCACGAAGGCCAUUGGAGAGGCUGCCUGCCCUACGGGAUUGCAGAGGGGACGAGGCCCAGCAAAGUCUGUGGAGCUGGAGGAUGCCACGCCCAUUCAGGACGAAAUGCAGAAGGACGCUGCAGAGCCUGCUUCUCUGUUCCUUCGCCUCACUGGGGCAGACCAGCUGCGGCCAGCCUGUGCCCACUCCUCGCGGACCUGGGUACUGCUUCCAGAGAUCCUUCAGUCCUGGGAGUUUAAUCAUUCUGUCCCGGCCUCUUUGCUCCCAGCCCUCCCCUGGCAGUUGCUGCUCUAUUGUUCUAGCUCAGUUUUCACUUUUUGCCCUUGCAAUGCACAAGGGUUAGCAAUUCUUGAUGGUACAGUCUCUCUGUUCGAAGAGCUGGGGUGGUUUCUACUUCUAGCUGGACCCUGAGUGAUCCUUCAGGCAGGGGUCUCUGCGACUGGAGACAUGCUGUGUGCAUGAGGUCCCAUGUACACUCAGAUUGCAUCCCCCAUCCCUGCCCAGCCCUGAGAGGCAGGCGAGACAGUCCCCCUCUCACCAUCUCUGGGGUGGGCCUGGAUUUAUUGGCUGAAGAAUUACACCCUCUUUGAUGGUAUGCAGUUUAAUUCCGUAGAUCAAAGCUAUGUCUAGAUUUUAAAUAAAUGAUAGGGAUUUAAAAUUGUAUAUAAAACACA
rnacentral:lncRNA from 1 species